ACGAACGCUGGCGGCGUGCCUAAUACAUGCAAGUCGAACGGUCUUUUCUAUGGAAGCUUGCUUCCACUGAGAAGAUAGUGGCGAACGGGUGAGUAACACGUGGGUAACCUGCCCAUAAGAGGGGGGAUAACAUCCGGAAACGGGUGCGUAAUACCGCAUAGUUUUUCUUGAUCGCAUGAUUGAGAAAGGAAAGACGGCCUUUGUGCUGUCGCUUAUGGAUGGACCCGCGGCGUAUUAGUUAGUUGGUGAGGUAACGGCUCACCAAGACGAUGAUACGUAGCCGACCUGAGAGGGUGAUCGGCCACAUUGGGACUGAGACACGGCCCAAACUCCUACGGGAGGCAGCAGUAGGGAAUCUUCCGCAAUGGACGAAAGUCUGACGGAGGCAACGCCGCGUGAGUAGAAGAAGGUUUUCGGAUCGUAAAACUCUGUUGUCGGAGAAGAACAAGUUGGAGAGUAACUGCUCCAGCCUUGACGGUAUCUGACCAGAAAGCCACGGCUAACUACGUGCCAGCCGCCGC
rnacentral:rRNA from 1 species